GGAAUAUUGGACAAUGGGGGGAACCCUGAUCCAGCCAUGCCGCGUGUGUGAAGAAGGCCUUUUGGUUGUAAAGCACUUUAAGCGAGGAGGAGGCUCCUAUAGAUAAUACCUAUAGAGAGUGGACGUUACUCGCAGAAUAAGCACCGGCUAACUCUGUGCCAGCAGCCGCGGUAAUACAGAGGGUGCAAGCGUUAAUCGGAUUUACUGGGCGUAAAGCGUACGUAGGUGGUCUUUUAAGUCGGAUGUGAAAUCCCUGAGCUUAACUUAGGAAUUGCAUUCGAUACUGGGAGACUAGAGUAUGGGAGAGGAUGGUAGAAUUCCAGGUGUAGCGGUGAAAUGCGUAGAGAUCUGGAGGAAUACCGAUGGCGAAGGCAGCCAUCUGGCCUAAUACUGACACUGAGGUACGAAAGCAUGGGGAGCAAACAGGAUUAGAUACCCCAG
rnacentral:rRNA from 1 species